ACCCCAGCUGUGGUAGUAUGGGGAGUUGCUCGGGAAUCCAAUUCACCUCCGCUUGUCUCUGCUUUAGGCUUGUACUUGCUGGGCAUUUUAGCAUGGACAUUAUUUCAUUUCUUUAUGUUUUAGAAGUUUUUGGACGUAUGGUUUUCGUUGUUGCCACGGGGUCAGGGUUUACGCUAGACUUUUUUUUGAUGGCCAAUAUGGCCGUUUAUAUGCCAAAGUUCCAGCCAUAUAGAACAAGUACCGACCAUAUGUUUUAAAUAGCCAUAUGAUAGCCGGCAUUUGACAUAACUUGAAAAUAAGUUGAAUGAAGAAACGGUCUAAAAAAAUUAAAUAACAGGCUGGUCGGUCCGAAUUCCGCGUUUGUUAAAAUUCAAAACUGUGUUGUGUGGCUCGUAAGGCUGUAGCCUAACGAAUGGUUUGAAGCUUCAUUCAUAAUAUUGACAUUCAAAUUGUUAGUAUUAAUACCUUACAGAAACAUUGCAUGUAAUAGUCUACCUUCUCUUCUCCUCUCUGUCUCUCUCAAACACUCACACACUCCCAGCGAGCGCGGCAGUGCUCCUCGUUUGUAAUUCUCUGUCCGAAGUCCAAAAGUCAACCUUUAUUGAAAAAAGAUAGAUAAUCAUUUCCCAACUUCUCGUCAUGUUUUUAUUUAAUGAAAUAUUCUGUUUCAGUCUAUAUUUGUUGGUGAUUCGCCUCUCAAAAACAGUAUUUUCACUGCGGUUAAAAAAAAUCAUAAAAUAUGUCGACAUUCAAAGCUUCAUUCAAAAACCUCAUAGAAGCUUUGAUAGUAAAGAAAAAAGAAAAUUGGUUCAGCACUAGUGGCUCAGUCUGAGCCACUUUGUUUGUUUCCCAUUUACACAGUCAGCUGGCUGCGUAUGAACACCGGCUUCUUUUUUCAGCGCACACACAGAAUGUACAGCCAGCGGACCGUGAGGAGAUAUUCACUGAAUUUGACAAAAAGUGUACUGGAUUAGAAUCGCAGUGGAGGCAUGUACACUUUUGUAUAAGUUUAUAUUUAAGUUGUUUUGGCAAAAUAUCUUAAAGGUCACACAAUAUUAGACUAUUUAAUAUGAUAUGGAGUAUCUGCUCCUUGUACUUUCCUAUCUCAUUCCUUCAGUUCUGUUGCUCUGUUGUAUCUGAAUGUUCCCAUUAACUUUAGCACAGGACAAGUUAGCAUUCAUUUUAGAUGCUCAUUCCAACCGGUUAGUCAUCCUCGUUCAGUACUCAUGUUAUGUGUUGUUGAUAGAGAGGAUGUUCUUACCUCACUGCAUCAGCUCUGCUUCUAUCUGCCAUUGUGCCUCGACUCUGUUUCACUAAGAUUUGCAUUUGUUUGAUUUUACAUCAUACCACUGCAUCAAUUUAACUGCAUCAAUUAGUAGUCAGACUAACUGACGUCUUUAAAUGCGACAAAAACGUGCAUAUUUGAAUUGAUAAUAACCACAGCUCAUGAUUUAUUUAGAUUUUAGAUGCAGGAGUCUAAAGGCCAGGCAGCCAACCUUUGGCCACAUGGCUUCUUUGUGUCCCCCUGCUCGUGCCUUAGCCAGCGCAUCCCCUGGCUGGCUGCUUUGAGCAGAGUGCUCAGCUGUGUGUGUGUGGGUGGGUGUGUGUGGGUGUGUGUGUGUGUGUGUGUAAAAAGCGCUGACUCAGGCCCCAGCCCCUCAUAGCUGGGCUGCCUGUGGAAUUUGGAGCAGAGGUGCAAUGUUAGGGAGAACAGCAGCUGUUUAGAUGAGGCCAGGUCUGCCUCUUUGUCCACCAGUGCCACCAUUCAAUCCUGUUUGUCUGUCUGUCUGUCUGUCAGCUUCUGGUAUGUCUCUUGCUGUCAUUGUUUAGUUUCUGUCUCCUCCAUUCACCCAGUCUUCAUUGCUUGUGUUCGCUCUGUAACGCUGCGCACUUCUGCGGUUAUUUGGCCAUCUUUGUCUCAUUAUCAUCCCUCUCUUUUCCUCUCCUCUAUUCCGUCUCUUUCCCUCCUUUAUUUCCUCUGUUUGCUCUCUGUCCUCCCCCUCCCCUCCCUGCCUCUGGUAGCUCCUCUGCCCCCUCCCUCGCUCCCUCCCAGACUGCUGUAUCCCAGCUUUGCCUAGUGACAAGAGAAGGCUGGGUUAGUGUGCUCCUGUGCGCGUAUGUGUGUAGGGCAUGUACCAGUAGUAUCGUGCGUUGUGCACGUGUGCGAGGGUGUACAUACUUGUCCUUUUUUUGGGUAUGUUUGCAUGCGUGUACUUUGCAGAAGAAGCACACGUGCAGAGGCUGAGACGCUCAGACAGCACAGCGAGUCCAGCCAGCAGCGUCCUGACAACACAGAGCUGAGCUGCAUCCUUAAUAAAGCAUCACUGCUGCAUACACACACACACACACGCACAGGCAUCCUCUAUCUCAUGCUGUCAUACUUGCAAAGGGAACUUCAUGCCAAAUGAAAAGGACAGGUAUUUGCCCUUUGAAACUGCACAGUCCUCCUGUGGCUAAAUUAGCUGCUUAGCAAGACUGUCAGAACAGUGCUGCAGCAGCCCACAGGUUACACAAGCAGGCUCAUUUCAAUCCCAGAAUACCAGGAAAAUGUGGGCAAGCACAACAUUUGUGCCACGUCUCAUCAGUAGUGAUGCAGCUUUUAGAUCAGAUACAGAUUUUUAACCAGUAUCAGCUAAUAUAUCAUAUACAUUUUUGUAAGAUUCAAAUCAGGUUAAGCUAAUCAGACAUGACUUGUUUUGUGGUAACUCUUUAUAAGUGGAUCUUUUUGAGAGUCAUGAUACAGAAAGUGACAUAUACACCUAGAGUAAAACUUACAAAAAUGUCCACAAUCAAGCACAUAUCAGCACUGACAGCACUGAAUGCUGUUUCUCCAGUAGUGGUGAAAAGCUUCUCUGCUGCAACAUUGGUGCUGGGGAAAGCCAUUGUUAUUCAAAACACUGCACAGGCACAGGUCUUUUGAAAUGAAACAGACUGGAUCAAGUUAUUUUUAGCGCUGCAGUGUGAGUUGGUCAGCUGGUCUGGUUUGGUGCUCCCCUCCACUAACGUUAGUGAGUCUUCACUUCAUUUUUGUCAUGCAAAGUUAAUUAUUAAAGGUGCUCAAUACAGAAUUUAGUUACGGAAUCUGUUGCCUUCACAUGGCUCUCAACAUGGAGACUUCUGAGCCGGCGGCUAGCAGCUAACAGUGCAAACCACGGCAACAGUGCUGACAGAGCUAACAGUAGGGGGCGGGGGGGGACUAGAGUGUGGUCACUAUGCUUCCGUGAUGACGGCGUGGGUCGGUACGGCGUUAUCAGCAGUUACCGCCGUAUGAGCACAAUGCAGAGUGGCGGCAUACCUAGCCAGUGGGGCACUAAAAUGCAUGUGCGGCCGGCCCGGCUAUGUAAACAAAGCACAGAGGAGCUUGGAUUACAACACUCACAGAGGCAGGAAUGUCACCCGAAAGUCGACGAGUCGAAUCAUCCAUCGCUGACCCCUCAGUCGACUUGAAACUCUUCAAGUCGAGCCGUCCUUUUCUUUUAAGAGGCUAGAUCUAUGAAGAACUUUGUGGUUUAGUAAACAAUGUAAUCACAAACACUUUGGUUGUAUAGAUAUGAAUGGUGAUGACUAAAAACAGCAAAAAAGGCACA